CUAAGCCGAGGCCGAAAGGCGUAGGUGAUGGACAACAGGUUGAUAUUCCUGUACCACCAAUAACCGUUUGAGAAAUGGGAUGACACAGAAGGAUAAGCUAACCGCACUGUUGGUUAUGUGCGGGCAAGUAUUGAGGCAGUUCUAAUAGGCAAAUCCGUUAGAAUAAUGCUAGGGUACGAUGCGGAGCGAAAUUUAGUAGCGAAGUAGCUGAUUUCACACUGUCGAGAAAAGUCUCUAUCGAGGUUAAAGGUGCCUGUACCGCAAACCGACACAGGUGGGUGAGGAGAGUAUCCUAAGGCCAGCGAGAGAACUGUUGUUAAGGAACUCGGCAAAAUGACCCCGUAACUUAGGGAGAAGGGGUGCCUUCGAAAGAAGGCCGCAGAGAAUAGGCCCAAGCGACUGUUUACCAAAAACAUAGGUUUCUGCUAAGUCGCAAGACGAUGUAUAGGAGCUGACGCCUGCCCGGUGCUGGAAGGUUAAGGGGAUCUGUUAGAGCAAUCGAAGCAGUGAACUUAAGCCCCAGUAAACGGCGGCCGUAACUAUAACGGUCCUAAGGUAGCGAAAUUCCUUGUCGGGUAAGUUCCGACCCGCACGAAAGGCGUAACGAUUUGGGCACUGUCUCAACAACAGACUGGGUGAAAUUGUAAUACCGGUGAAGAUGCCGGUUACCUGCGACAGGACGGAAAGACCCCAUGGAGCUUUACUGUAGCUUGACAUUGAGUCUCGGUGCUACAUGUACAGGAUAGGUGGGAGACUAUGAAGCAUGGACGUCAGUCUGUGUGGAGUCAUCCUUGGGAUACCACCCUUGUAGUACUGGGAUUCUAACCAGAGGCCAUGAAUCUGGUCUUGGGACACUGUCAGGUGGACAGUUUGACUGGGGCGGUCGCCUCCCAAAAAGUAACGGAGGCGCUCAAAGGUUCUCUCAGUACGGUCGGAAAUCGUACGAAGAGUGUAAAGGCAAAAGAGAGCUUGAUUGCAAGACAUACAGGUCGAGCAAGGACGAAAGUCGGACUUAGUGAUCCGGUGGUACCGCAUGGAAGGGCCAUCGCUCAACGGAUAAAAGCUACCCUGGGGAUAACAGGCUGAUCUCCCCCAAGAGUCCACAUCGACGGGGAGGUUUGGCACCUCGAUGUCGGCUCAUCACAUCCUGGGGCUGUAUUCGGUCCCAAGGGUUCGGCUGUUCGCCGAUUAAAGUGGUACGCGAGCUGGGUUCAGAACGUCGUGAGACAGUUCGGUCCCUAUCCGUCGCAGGCGUAGGAAAUUUGAGGAGACCUGUCCUUAGUACGAGAGGACCGGGAUGGACGUACCGCUGGUGUACCAGUUGUUCUGCCAAGGGCAUAGCUGGGUAGCUAAGUACGGAAAGGAUAAGCGCUGAAAGCAUCUAAGCGCGAAGCC
rnacentral:rRNA from 1 species